UACGUAGGAGGCGAGCGUUAUCCGGAUUCAUUGGGCGUAAAGAGCGCGUAGGCGGCCUAUUAAGUUGGUUGUGAAAUCUCCCGGCUUAACCGGGAUGGGUCAACUAAUACUGGUGGGCUUGAGGGCAGCAGAGGGAGGUGGAAUUCCCGGUGUAGCGGUGAUAUGCGUAGAGAUCGGGAGGAACACCAGUGGCGAAGGCGGCCUCCUGGGCUGUUCCUGACGCUGAGGCGCGAAAGCGUGGGUAGCAAACAGGAUUAGAUACCCCCGUA
rnacentral:rRNA from 1 species